UUUCCGUAGGUGAACCUGCGGAAGGAUCAUUACUGAGUGAGGGCCCCUCGGGGUCCAACCCCCCACCCAUGUUUAACGAACCUUGUUGCUUCGGCGGGCCCCCCUCACGGCCGCCGGGGCGCAUCUGCCCCCGGGCCCGCCCCCGCCGAAGCCAACUGUGAACGCUGUCUGAAGUAUGCAGUCUGAGACAAUUAUUAAAUUAAUUAAAACUUUCAACAACGGAUCUCUUGGUUCCG
rnacentral:misc_RNA from 1 species